AGAUUGAAGCCCGCUGGCUUGCGUUUUUAGUUGUUAACUAAGCAUUUAUGGGAUCAAGACCCGUCGAUCUAG
rnacentral:tRNA from 1 species